UACGUAGGGGGCAAGCGUUGUCCGGAUUUAUUGGGCGUAAAGGGCUCGUAGGCGGCCAACUAAGUCAGACGUGAAAUCCCUCGGCUUAACCGGGGAACUGCGUCUGAUACUGGAUGGCUAGAGUGUGGGAGAGGGAUGCGGAAUUCCAGGUGUAGCGGUGAAAUGCGUAGAUAUCUGGAGGAACACCGGUGGCGAAGGCGGCAUCCUGGACCACGACUGACGCUGAGUGAGCGAAAGCCAGGGGAGCAAACGGG
rnacentral:rRNA from 1 species